rnacentral:sRNA from 13 species
UAUUUUGUUUGUUUUAAGAAGUCUUCACACCGUAAAGUUCGUUGGGUGGCUUAAUUUUAUUUUAAAAACUAUUUUAGAGAAAUAUCGGGAACGAAAUACAAAGUUAGUGCUGGAUACAGGAUCAAAUUUAUUUAUUAGCUUGUUCUAAACUCUAUGCCAGUUCUAAGUUCUAAUCUAGUGGUAAAUUAGUUCUUAUCUAGUUCUAAGCUAGUUCUAAAUUAGUUCUUAUCUACAUCUAAGCUAGUUCUAAAUUAGUUCUUAUCUAGUUCUAAGCUAGUUCUAAAUUAGUUCUUAUCUAAAUCUAAGCUAGUUCUAAAUUAGUUCUUAUCUAGUUCUAAGCUAGUUCUAAAUUAGUUCUUAUCUAGUUCUAAGCUAGUUUUAAAUUAGUUCUUAUCGAGUUCUAAGCUAGCUCUAGCCUAGUUCUAAGCUAGUUUUUAGUUCAAAUCUAGUUCUUUACUAGUUCUAUGUUCUAAGCGAGUUCUAAGUUCUAAGCUACUUUAAAAUAAGUUCUAAUCUAGUUCUAAGCUAGUUCUAUGUUGUAAGCUAGUUCUAAUCUAUUUCUAAGCUAGUUCUAAGUCUUGGUUCUAAGCUAAUUCUAGACUAUAUAGCACAUUUUUUAAGUCCUCCAUGUUAGCGCUGCUAAAGACUUAUAGGCUGUGACGCUGAGACGAAAGCCUUGACUACGUUUUGAUCAGUAGCUUCAAAGAGAUGACUAGAACUUCCUUUGAAGCAGCUGAUUACAAUGUAGUGAAGGAAUAACCACUAAACGUAGGCAGCACCAUGUUGAUGACACCGAGAAACGUGUAACUCUCAAAGCUAAGCGAAAAGAAUCAGCUUGGCUAGACGUAUCAAGUUCGAGUCCCACAACUGGAGGAGCAUAGGACUGAAGUGUAUGUCUGGUCACUCGAACUGCUUGAGCGCUAUGAGACAUAACAUUGAAUAGACGAGGACGCAGAGCCCUCGACUUAAUCUCAAUGGGAGUUAAAUCUCGCGCAUAAUGGAAGUCUCUUGCGAAGGCUGUGGAACCAAGACCAAUCAUUAUAAUAGGCAUGAACACUGACCUGUAACGACGUAGCCUGUGGGUAGUGGAGACCAAUAGCUCAUUGCCACGUCACAGGUCUGUACAAUGUGGCAACGAGAUAUUCGUCUCCAAUCUCCACUGACUCGAGGACAAGCUUUAUUUUUUUUUCGGAUAAAUUCAGAAAGCUAUUUCUACAAAAAAAUACACUUUUAUUGGUGACCUA